ACAAAACAGAGUCCAAUCCCGCACGCAACCUCCUCCCCGUUCCUCUCUGCCCUGCGCCGUCCCCAUCCUCUGUAGAAGGAGCACGGCUCUCGUCGCUGUGCCUGGUGGGGAUCCGGUGCAUCCCCUCUCCGCUCGCCUCCUCCUCUCCUGGGUCCCUGCGUUGCCGGCUCAGCCGCUUCUCCUGCGUCUUCUCCUCCCCGCUUCUCUCCUCCUAGUCGAGUCCUGGACCAGAUCGGCGUCCGGCGCGGGAAGCUCGGGGUGGUCGCAGGUUCGGGCGCCAUCUCCUUUCUUCCCGUACACUGGGAUCAAACAGCCCGCGGCCUGGCGGUGCCGGCCUGGAUCCGAAGGCAGAUGGACCAGAUCCUGGAGCUGGGCACGAAGGAGCUCGAGGUCGACGACUCCGGCUUCGUCCUCCUCCUCUGACGUCGCCACCUUGCUCAGGUCCAACACGUCUAUCCAUCGCCCCAGUUUUUACCAUUUCGUCGUGAUUACCAUCCCACACCAUCCAUAGGGUGUGCCUUCUGCCCUUCUCACCACUCUGAACUCGGAGCAAGUGGAAAUUGGGUUGGGGAAGUUUUUCGAGCUCGAAAUUAAACCCAGUUCUAGAAUAGUAGAAGCUGGUGCUGAGAUGGUCGGUAGGCAGUGGCACUCAUAGGUCUCCAUUGCUUCAAAUCUAUUUGGUUUUAGGUGAUUUGGCACCCAAAACUCACAACACUGUUGCUACACAUCAGUUCAGGAAUCAAGGCAAAUAGCGGUAUUUCCCUUUGGGGUGAAUGGACGAACUGAUUAUGGGAAGACCAACCAAGUAGUUUAUACAAUACUCACAAUUUCUCACACUUCCAGCGAAUUAAACUGACGAUUAGAUGUGCCUUCUCUCCUUCGUACAUUGUUUAGGGGUUUGGUUUGAGAAGUGGGUUGCAGCACUCAUGAUUUUGCUUGUUUCAGGGAUGGAAUGAAUUGGGGGUCAGCAUCUAACACACACACACAGAGGGAGAGAGAGAGAGAGGAUAAUUCUGUUUAUUACGUCAACCAUGUAGUAGAAACCAGAUAGAACUAAACAGCUAGGGUUUUGAAGUUGACUCGGUAGCUGAAUGUCCAUGAAUUUGUGUAAAACGACAAGUGCGCUACUGAAUUAAAAUUCUACCUAUUCAUUCCAUUGCCCAGUUACCAUCUGAAAGGUUCUAUUUUGCCACCGCAACUCUAAUUAGAUUGUUAUAGUUCAGACUAAGGGGAUCAAGAUUAGUCAUCUGUUAGCUAUGUACUAUGGACCUCAACACUAGCUGAGUAGCUACGUAGCUAAUCAUUGAUCUUGCCUUGGGUGAAAGGCUGGCGUUUGUUAAUUCAGAUACUGAAAGGUAACCCACACUGACUUAAUUUGUUUACUUUCCUUCUGAAAUCUUAUUUGCUUAGCUUCUAUUGACGACAUUUCUAAUCUUUUAUCUUCGUCGGUAAACUCAACUGCAUCUCAGUUUUCUGUUCCCAUUUCCUGGAUUGCGGGUCCUGAUGCGCAAGAUUCUUCUGUUUGCUACGGGUCCUGGAUGAUGGCAAGCAUUGACGUGCGUACGCCGUUGCAACAGCCACACCUCAACCCUCCUGACGCACGCAAUAAUCAGCGGUGCCAAAAUGAUUUAGUAUUUGCAAAGGUCGCUUUUGUUGCAUUUUCUACGUGAGAAACCAUCUCAGGCUAUAAGUUUGCACAGCCUGGACACUUCACUUGCAUACCUUGUUAGUUACUGAUUGGACUAUACGUAAUUAUGUUCACUUAUAUAUAACAAGAGUUACUUUACCCAACUCCCAAGGAAAUUGAUAAAAGAAAAACAUAUCUGCAUACUAAAUGUUCUUGCAAAUCUUGUUCUCAGAUUGUCAAUUGAAGGUGACCACGAGAUAUUCUCAUGUUCUUUUAUAAUGUUUAUUUGGGGAUUAAAAUCUUGAUAAUUAGAUGUACUGCUUCGCUUCAUAUGUAAUUUCCCUCAUGCCUUCUAAUCCGUUCAGAUGACUAGCUAUUAUCCACAUUAGGUUUUGCUCUAUCUAAUUGGUCGUUCAAUUAGUCAAAUAGCCGUUUCAUUUUUAUUAUGCUGACACAAGAUCUGUCUCUAUUCUAAGAUUUAGUUUCUGGUCACUUUUUGUGAGGUUUUUCAUCAAAGAUUCUCUUUAAACUCCUAUUUUAUACCUUUCUUUAUGGUUCUUUGCAUGGAAGUACUGUCUUCUUGCUUAUAUUAUUCUUCUGCUAUCAUACAGAUUUGGAUGCACCUGCACAGUACUGAUAGUACAUGAAAUUCAUCAACCUGCAUCCAAAUGCAUACAAUAUGCAUGCUAAGCUUUCUUCAAAUUUGCUCUAACAGAGUGAUGAAUACAAUAUGCAUGCUAAGCUUUCUUCAAAUUAUGCUAAUUGAUCUUAAAAAGCUGGCUACUAGUGUUAUUUGCUGCAAUUUAUUUCUGACAGCCAGGUAGUCUUGGAAUGCUUUCGUAAUGCAAUUUAUUUUUGACAGACAAGCUAUGCUAAUUGAUCUUGAAAAGGUGGCUACUGGUGUUAUCUGCUUUGUGGAAGGCUGUUAGCAUUAAACUUUAGUGCUCGCCUGUUCAUCAUAGUCUCAUUCCCUAGAUAAUUAAUGAGGCAUGAAAAAUAGGUGAAAUUGCAGGAAAAUUGAAGAUGGGAACACGAUUCAUUUUGUCAAUGGGAACAUCUACUGUUACAGAUACACUUUCUGUAUUCUACCUAUCGAUGGCGUAAUGUUUGAAUAUUAAGUCAUUUCUUUUUGUCAUUAGCAGUUGCUUUUAUUUAUGUUCAUAUUCCAAGUAUGCAUGUGCUGCUCCGGUGGUGUUUUAUUAGUUGAUUGGCAUAUAUGGAUCUCUCCAUGUUUAUUAGUUGAUCUCCAACCCCUACUCUGCUGUGGUUCUGUGGGAGCAAGAAGAGCAUGCAUGCUUUCUCUCUACAUCUAGGGUCCAUACGGCCAGAUUGACGGGCCUAAACUCUGGCUUCACUCGGAUUUAUGUGAAUAUAAGCGUAAGAGGUCUAGUGGCAAUGCUACAAAAUCACUGCAGGCGAUAUAAUAACGUUGUAGAUAGACGGAGACUGAAUCAGUUCACACUACUUUGAUGUCUAUCGAGCCAAUGGGACAACAAAGAAAAGAAGAACCGGAAGAAGGUUAUCUAUCUUCACGAGCAAGUUGGUGUCUGUAAACCUUCACCGGAGCCAUUCCAGCUCUUUCAGAGCCACAAGGUGAGCCGGAAGUCAGUGCAAGGAAGUUGAGGAACCAAGACCCCAACGGUGCGGAGCAGUUUCCCAUCGAGAGGACUAGGGCUGCCAUCAGGGACCUGUAGACCAAGCUCAACAUCUCCCUCGUGCCUCCAUCAACACCGUGUCCUGGAGGGUCGUUGCCGUCCGCGACGACGAGCUACUGCCGCAGCUUUGCCAGCCGCACGGUUAGAGGGAGGCAUCAAGGUCCUGCCACCGCUCCCGGGGCCGAUGUGCGUGUAAUUUCUGUUAAUGUAUCUUAUGUUGCCAAACAACAACAUGCUCCUGUCAAUGCUAUAUCAUUGUGGGCGUGGCAUUUCAGUUUCUUCCUCAGGUGAUAUUCCAAUAUACAAUAAGUUCCAUCAAGAAUUGCAUGUACAUGUGCUGCUAUUCUGAUCCAAAAAGGAAAGUAAAAAGGGCGUUCAUCUACCUGGCACCGCCCAGAUGCCCCUCAAGCGGCGCGCCACGGGUGCGCCCCAACUACUAGUGAAGGAUUGAAGUAUCACCAAAGAACUAGCUAUGGACAGGGGUGCGUGGAAGCUUGCUAUCCAUGUGCCCGAAUUAAAGGCUUUGUUACAAAUCCAUCCUUUGUCGAAAAAGGGUGUCUCUACAGUUGAUGCAAUUUAUGAACUCCUGAGUUAAGGCAACAUAAGUGGCACACCCAGAAACCAAAGAAGCAUAUUACUCCUGUCGAGCUGUGUCCAAUACUCAAAACACUUCACAAAACUUUAAUCAAGAGGUUGGAAUGCUCUUGGAUCUCCAUUGUUGCCUCUUGUAGUUAGUCUUGCUGCCUCUAUAGGUGCCUGCAUUUUGUGUACUACUUACGCAUUUGUAGGAAACUUGGUACCAGUUCAAUUCUUGAGGCGAUACGAGAUGAAUCAAUGUCCGAUCCACGGGAAAGAAUCGAGAUGGCACAAUGCCAGUCCCUCUACCGACCUCCUCUCCUUGGCCUGCCUAAAUGGGAUAUCAAGCUGUAGCUGCAACCUUUAUUUAUGGAGAAAUGUUGCGAGUUUGCAGGGUUUGCUGAUCCUUCUGUCGGUGAACCUGCAAGUGCAUAUUUGUAGUGUAUGCUUAUAUGUGUACUGCUGAGCACGAGAUGAGUUUUUUUAAUAGCAAGGUGAGAUAAACUUCUUAUCAUCCGAGUUGAUGCCCACCAGUAUAUACAACCCUUGAGUCAAUUGUAUUUGUUGUUUGCAUGGCAAGAGAGAUACCUGUAAAUCUGUAAUUCUUUUGAACUUUGUAAAGUAGCUCAUUGUCACUGCUUUAGUUGA